GUCCGAUUGACGAGCUCCAAAUAGGACGAAACGCGCGUCCUGGAU
rnacentral:hammerhead_ribozyme from 1 species